rnacentral:rRNA from 1 species
GAUGAACGCUGGCGGCGUGCCUAAUACAUGCAAGUCGAGCGAACAGACGAGGAGCUUGCUCCUCUGACGUUAGCGGCGGACGGGUGAGUAACACGUGGAUAACCUACCUAUAAGACUGGGAUAACUUCGGGAAACCGGAGCUAAUACCGGAUAAUAUAUUGAACCGCAUGGUUCAAUAGUGAAAGACGGUUUUGCUGUCUCUUAUAGAUGGAUCCGCGCCGCAUUAGCUAGUUGGUAAGGUAACGGCUUACCAAGGCGACGAUGCGUAGCCGACCUGAGAGGGUGAUCGGCCACACUGGAACUGAGACACGGUCCAGACUCCUACGGGAGGCAGCAGUAGGGAAUCUUCCGCAAUGGGCGAAAGCCUGACGGAGCAACGCCGCGUGAGUGAUGAAGGUCUUCGGAUCGUAAAACUCUGUUAUUAGGGAAGAACAAAUGUGUAAUUAACUAUGCACGUCUUGACGGUACCUAAUCAGAAAGCCACGGCUAACUACGUG